rnacentral:rRNA from 1 species
GACGAACGCUGGCGGCGUGCUUAACACAUGCAAGUCGAACGGAAAGGCCCUGCUUUUGUGGGGUGCUCGAGUGGCGAACGGGUGAGUAACACGUGAGUAACCUGCCCUUGUCUUUGGGAUAACUUCAGGAAACUGGGGCUAAUACCGGAUAGGAGCUCCUGCUGCAUGGUGGGGGUUGGAAAGUUUCGGCGGUUGGGGAUGGACUCGCGGCUUAUCAGCUUGUUGGUGGGGUAGUGGCUUACCAAGGCUUUGACGGGUAGCCGGCAUGAGAGGGUGACCGGCCACAUUGGGACUGAGAUACGGCCCAGACUCCUACGGGAGGCAGCAGUGGGGAAUAUUGCACAAUGGGCGGAAGCCUGAUGUAGCAACGCCGCGUGCGGGAUGACGGCCUUCGGGUUGUAAACCGCUUUCGCCUGUGACGAAGCGUGAGUGACGGUAAUGGGUAAAGAAGCACCGGCUAACUACGUG